AGCGAACGCUGGCGGCAGGCCUAACACAUGCAAGUCGAACGAAGUCUUCGGACUUAGUGGCGGACGGGUGAGUAACACGUGGGAACGUGCCUUUAGGUUCGGAAUAACUCAGGGAAACUUGUGCUAAUACCGAAUGUGCCCUUCGGGGGAAAGAUUUAUCGCCUUUAGAGCGGACCGCGUCUGAUUAGCUAGUUGGUGAGGUAAAGGCUCACCAAGGCUACGAUCAGUAGCUGGUCUGAGAGGAUGACCAGCCACAUUGGGACUGAGACACGGCCCAAACUCCUACGGGAGGCAGCAGUGGGGAAUCUUGCGCAGUGGGCGAAAGCCUGACGCAGCCAUGCCGCGUGGAUGAUGAAGGUCUUAGGAUUGUAAAAUCCUUUCACCGGUGAAGAUAAUGACUGUAGCCGGAGAAGAAGCCCCGGCUAACUUCGUGCCAGCCGCCGCCGUAAUAC
rnacentral:rRNA from 1 species